rnacentral:rRNA from 1 species
CAGUCGCCGCGGGAAUACAGAGGGUGCAAGCGUUAAUCGGAAUUACUGGGCGUAAAGCGCGCGUAGGUGGUUCGCCAAGUUGGAUGUGAAAUCCCCGGGCUCAACCUGGGAACUGCAUCCAAAACUGGCGAGCUAGAGUAUGGUAGAGGGUGGUGGAAUUUCCUGUGUAGCGGUGAAAUGCGUAGAUAUAGGAAGGAACAUCAGUGGCGAAGGCGACCACCUGGACUGAUACUGACACUGAGGUGCGAAAGCGUGGGGAGCAAACAGGAUUAGAUACCCCGGUAGUCCCUGUCUCUUAUAC